rnacentral:rRNA from 1 species
GCAAGUCGAACGAGAAAGUCACUUCGGUGGCGAGUAGAGUGGCGCACGGGUGAGUAACGCGUAGAUGAUGUGCCUUUUAGUUGGGGACAACCUCGUGAAAACGGGGCUAAUACCGAAUAAGUUUACUGAAAUUGAAAAAAGUAAAGAAAGGGGGCUUCGGCUCUCGCUAGAAGAUCGGUCUGCGUAGCAUUAGCUUGUUGGUGGGGUAAUGGCCUACCAAGGCUUCGAUGCUUAACUGGUCUGAGAGGAUGAUC